AUCGAACGCUGGCGGCAGGCCUAACACAUGCAAGUCGAGCGAGCGUGGGACGGGGGUGAAAUGCCCGGGAAACAGCCGCCUGGAGGGGGAUGACUACUGGAAAAGGUAGCUACUACUGCAUACUAUCAGCGGUGCCCCCAUGGGGUUAGCUAGUAGGUGGGGUAAUGGCUCACCUAGGCGACGAUCCCUAGCUGGUCUGAGAGGAUGACCAGCCACACUGGAACUGAGACACGGUCCAGACUCCUACGGGAGGCAGCAGUGGGGAAUAUUGCACAAUGGGCGCAAGCCUGAUGCAGCCAUGCCGCGUGUGUGAAGAAGGCCUUCGGGUUGUAAAGCACUUUCAGCGAGGAGGCGUUACCCGCAGAAGAAGCACCGGCUAACUCCGUGCCAGCAGCCGCGGUAAUAC
rnacentral:rRNA from 1 species